rnacentral:rRNA from 1 species
GAUGAACGCUGGCGGCGUGCCUAAUACAUGCAAGUCGAGCGAACAGACGAGGAGCUUGCUCCUCUGACGUUAGCGGCGGACGGGUGAGUAACACGUGGAUAACCUACCUAUAAGACUGGGAUAACUUCGGGAAGCCGGAGCUAAUACCGGAUAAUAUAUUGAACCGCAUGGUUCAAUAGUGAAAGACGGUUUUGCUGUCACUUAUAGAUGGAUCCGCGCCGCAUUAGCUAGUUGGUAAGGUAACGGCUUACCAAGGCGACGAUGCGUAGCCGACCUGAGAGGGUGAUCUGCCACACUGGAACUGAGACACGGUCCAGACUCCUACGGGAGGCAGCAGUAGGGAAUCUUCCGCAAUGGGCGAAAGCCUGACGGAGCAACGCCGCGUGAGUGAUGAAGGUCUUCGGAUCGUAAAACUCUGUUAUUAGGGAAGAACAAAUGUGUAAGUAACUAUGCACGUCUUGACGGUACCUAAUCAGAAAGCCACGGCUAACUACGUG